UUUCACAGUCUGAAUUAGUUCAUACUUACACAUGCAUGGCUUAUCUUUGAGACAAGCAUAUGACUACUGGCAGGAUCAACCAGGUAGCAUUCCUUUUUGCCGAAGGCACCGCAUGAGCAACAGAGGAUGAAUAUCAUCCUCAUUUCAACACGGGGCACAACAGGCUUCCAUUAAGGACAUUCGAUUCGGACAAAUAGGGACCAAGACCCCAACCGAUCAUGUUUCUGCAUACAGUAUUUCUGGCGACACAUGGGCUUCCGAUGCUUACAAGACCAAAUGGAAACGCAGCAACGGACGUCCAGGUUAGUUUCAUUGUCUGUCUUGCACAAAUUAAGGAGCACAAGACAAAUAAGGGACCAUCGGACUAUAAAAUUCCGUCAAAAUAGGUAUGAUGCACAGGGGGCCAAGCCAACCAAAGGCAAAAUAUUUAGCUCUUGGACAGAAUUGAACACGUAUGAAUCAGCGGUUGUCGCUGCCGAGGCAGGGAUCCAACCAACCGAGACAUACCAAUCACC
rnacentral:misc_RNA from 1 species